rnacentral:lncRNA from 1 species
GGAAUAUUAGCUGAUUAAGUGCAUUUAUUACCUUUACAGGAAAAGGAGCUUCACUGCAUUUUUCCUGAAUAUUAUUCUCAUGUUGGUAUUUUUUUCAUCUGACUGAAAACACACACUUAGCCAUUGAUCUUUGACAGGUCUUUGUGAGCCUGUCAGUGCUGUUUUGAGGGAAUAGAAGUUUCAAGCUGAGAAAGAAAACAUAUACCGUCCAGUGUAUUGAUUCCUCACUGGUAUUUCUAUACUUUCUAAAGGUGAGGUGAAGUGCAGCAGAAUCUGUGAAUCCCACAGGAAUGUUCUGAUCAGCUAUCAAGAUAAUACACAUCACAUCAGACACACAAGGAGGAGGAUGCAAUUAAAAGCGUGGGGCUGGGAUAUCAUAUGGCUUCCUGCCCACAUCCUUGGAAGUUGCCCAUGAUACUAGGGUAUUGGAGUCUGGGAGCUGUGACGAUAAAGAGGUGGAAGCUAGUCAGUGAUACCUCAGACUUCACCAUUCCUUCAUUGGAGAGCAGCAAAUUGCAUAUCUUUUCAGUCAACUUGGG